rnacentral:tRNA from 1 species
AUUUGAAUAGCUUAAGAUUAAAGCUUUACAUUGAAGCUGUAAAUAUGGUAUUAAUUACCUUCAAAUA